GAUGAACGCUGGCGGCGUGCCUAAUACAUGCAAGUCGAGCGAACGGACGAGGAUCUUGCUUCUCUGAUGUUAGCGGCGGACGGGUGAGUAACACGUGGAUAACCUACCUAUAAGACUGGGAUAACUUCGGGAAACCGGAGCUAAUACCGGAUAAUAUUUUGAACCGCAUGGUUCAAAAGUGAAAGACGGUCCUGCUGUCACUUAUAGAUGGAUCCGCGCUGCAUUAGCUAGUUGGUAAGGUAACGGCUUACCAAGGCAACGAUGCAUAGCCGACCUGAGAGGGUGAUCGGCCACACUGGAACUGAGACACGGUCCAGACUCCUACGGGAGGCAGCAGUAGGGAAUAUUCGGCAAUGGGCGAAAGCCUGACGGAGCAACGCCGCGUGAGUGAUGAAGGUCUUCGGAUCGUAAAACUCUGUUAUUAGGGAAGAACAUAUGUGUAAGUAACUGUGCACAUCUUGACGGUACCUAAUCAGAAAGCCACGGCUAACUACGUG
rnacentral:rRNA from 1 species